rnacentral:rRNA from 1 species
GGGUGCGAUCAUACCAGCACUAAUGCACCGGAUCCCAUCGGAACUCCGCAGUUAAGCGUGCUCGGGCGAGAGUAGUACUAAGUUGGGUGACCACUUGGGAAGUCCUCGUGUUGCACCCCUUU